ensembl:snRNA U6 U6 spliceosomal RNA
GUGCUCACUUUGCUAUCACUUAUACUAAAAUUGGAAUGGUGCAGAAAUUAGGAUAGCUCCUGCACAAGGAUGACACACAAAUUUGUGAAGCAUUACAUAUUUUG